CGCCCCCCCCCCCCCGCGCGCGCUCCUCCACCUUCCCCGUCCUCCUCCAGCGCCUCCUCGCCAUACCGGUGGCGCGCAGACCAGCAGCCCAUCUCCCUGCUUUUCCGCCGGCCACAAAGACCGGUAACCCCACCUCCCUUUUUCCGCCGGCGGUCAGCAGUACCCUCGGGACUGGAGGACUGGGCGUGGCUUCGACGCUGCCUCCCACGUCUUUGCCGACCUCAUCGGUCACCGCGGACGCGGCCUGAGCGGGGUAUCUCCUGCCAUCGUUGGCGCUUCCGUCCUCACCGGCAGUCGAGGCCUAAGCCGGGUUUUCCUCGAUGUCUUGGCCGUCGCCGAUGUGCUCCCAUCGCCGUCCUGGAUACGCCUGCUCUCCCUUCCCUCGGUGCGCGACCAGGCACGACUGACUGCGGGGAACUCCGACCCCGUGCAUGUUACUGCAGCGCCUCCUACUUUCUCUCUCUCACCAGGUUGAUGCGUGCCAACUAUUUGAUGGUAUGUUUGUGAGGAUUUUUUUCUUGAUUGAAUAAUGCUCCAACAAUCCUUGCAAGAUUUAGAGGUGUAUCAAUUCAACUUUUAGCAUAUCCCAUGGGCCAUCACCACCACCGGGCUGCUCCUUUAUCAACGUCAUUAGGGACAGGUACAUAUGCAACUUGGAAGCAAAAAUUAUCGAGAAUGUCGCAUAUGCCUUUGUUUGAUGCGUAAUCAUGAUCAUUUUGUUAGUAUGUUGCUGUAAUUUCAAAAUAUUGUUGUCCUCCUCAUCCGAAUUCUUGCACCAAGCUCCAGGCACAGAAGCUGUUGUAUCGCGUGGACGGAGAGAUGCGAGAUUGAUGUUUUCCAAAUCAGUGACAUUUUGACUACCAUCAUAACUAGACGAGGCAUAGGUUUCCAGAUGCAUACAAAUUCAUUGGACACAAUAUCCACUUUAUUAGUCGCAAAUAUUUUUUCUAAAUUUUCACUGAAGGAAGCAUCACACAAAAAUAUAAGUUGUAUUAACCCAAAUUUUUAAUUAAAGGAUUAGCAAUGGACAAGGUUCACAUAAAAUACUUUGAAGUUGAGAAAAAGCCAGUAUUUUCUAUGUUAUUCCUCAUGAAGAGGAGCUUCUGUUAGAAUUUUUGGGUACAUAUAUCAUAUGGUACUGCUAGCGAGUCCAAUCACUUUUGAUUUCGUACAAUCAGAAUUUUAUUUUCUGAUCUUUUAUAUUUGGUAUAGAUUGUUGUAUAAAGAGCACAUGGACACCAGUGACCUUUUGAAUUUUGCCUGCUCAUUGGCAUUCUCACUCUGCCUCCAAGCUGUCUCUGACGAAACGGUGGUGUUCCCCUGCCAUACUGCUGGAGAAGGCUGACGCUCCUCUUGGGGUAGAGUUAAAUGGAAAACAGCCUGCGAGGGGGACAACUACAAGAUCUUUUCGGAGACUCCAAGGCCACGGCGAUGUUUUGCAUCACCCUGACAGCUAUUGCGGCAACCACUAGAGCAGGUACUCCGUGGCCAGAUCCCUUUGAUGAGAGAAAUGAAUAGCUGAUAAAGUCUACAUUGGAGUUUUGUUGUACUGAAAUUUGUUCAGUCCAUGUGGAAUUUUCCCAAUGAUACAACCAGGGUAAACACAGAAAGAUCCUACUUAAAGCACAAGCAGAGGUGUUGGAGCUCAUGUGACAAUACACUAGGGAUGACCUGGAGGCCAAGAAGAUUCGUUUCUCUUUCAGGUAUCAUCGUGCUCCAUUUCGAAAAAAGAUUAUGGAACAUGAAAGAAGGAGAUUAAACGAUAUGCAAGCACCUACACAAGAUGUGCAGAGAUGUUACCAAUGUCAGCUUCUCUGCGCACUCUGAGCACGCACUCUGAGCAGUACCAACACGUUGAGUGUGUAUUCAGUGAGUCACCAUCCAGUCAGAAGCAGAGAACCCUCAUCGGUUCAGUACAGAUGUUGCAAGUGUGUUUGAUUUUUACUCUCCUCAUGAGUUGUGCAUCAUGGAGAUUUAUAGGAUAGUGGUUCCCAAGAACUUAAAAAAGCUGCUGGAAAGCAUCCUGACGGAUCAACCGAAGAAAGAAAUCACAGAUCGCAACAAUCUUUAUGCGGCUUAAUGGGUUAUCGGAGAAGUAAAUUCUGAAAGGAAAGCGAUCAAAGCUGAAAAUACCAUUAGCAGCUAUUACCUAUGGUUCCUGGAGUUUUUGUGAUACAGUAAAGUGGUCUGAUUAUUUUUGUAAUGGCAAUGCUGAGACUCUAGGCUUCCCUGUCGAUCAUAGGUAGUCUGCACUGUAGUCCAAAAAAAAUUUGAACUUCUGUACUGGACUAUUUUGUAAUGACACACUUUGUUUGUGCAAAUGUCGUGCUAUAAUUAUCGUGUGUCUCUCUUAUCUAGAAACCUCAACUUUCUCCAUGUAAGGAUUCUUGGUAUGUUAAUGAAGUUGUUGCUUGCCAGGCUUAA